UAGAAAUAUUAAUUCCAUAUGACUUCUAAGGUAAUAAUGUUAAAAUCUUAAAUGCCUUCAACUAGGUGAAUAUAUUUGUGAUUAGAUUUUAUAUUAAUGUUGUAUCAAAUGUUAAAUUUUUAGUUUUAGGUGAUUUUCCAUAUUCCACUUGUUGAGUAAAACACUGACCCAAUUUUGAACACUGUUUUGUGUGAAUUUAUUGUGUUUGAUUUGAUUCCUUUUCCUGUGUUCUAGAACUUGACUUUAUUACUUUGUUUUUCUUGAUUGCUUAUUGUUGUUGUUUGGAAGGAGGUGUUUAAAAGGGCUAUAAUGCAGCCUGGGCCACCUGAGCAUUUUUCUUUACUGACAGUUCUAGAAUUCAUCAAACCUCAGUGAGGGAGAAAGAUUCAAUAUACACAGUGAAAGUCUGAACUCCUUUUCUAAUCAUGGGUGGCAGGAUUAUUGUACUACUUUAACCAUUUUCACACAUAUCAACAUCACAGCAGAGGACAGUUCCCCACACCGUCGAAGAGGAUGACCAAAGGCACUGCAUAGGCUACAUCGGGAGAACACUGCCUCGAUAACCUGAAUGACUUGCUGAGGUUUCUGCGGCGCAAUGACCCGCAAACUCGUGACGUGUUCAAGCAGGUGCGCAAAUGGAACAAGGUUUCCAAGGAUUUGAUUCCGAUCAUUGAGCACUACCAGGAGGAUCGAAAUUUGCUUUUGAAUGCAGUGAAGGUUUUGGUGUUCUUUACAAUGCCAAUUGAACCAGGUUCCACGGAUAUUCGGCAGCAGCUUAAGUAUCUGUGGAGAUUGAAGUCUGUAGUGAUGAGUAGUGAUGUAUGUGAAGACCACUCGAGAAUUUGGAAUGGUAAGCUUUAUAUUGUAACUGCUGUUGAAAAUCAUUAGAAGGGAAGGAAUUGGGAACCUCUAGUUUAUGUGCAAUUUCUUAUUUAGUUGUUCUGUUUUACAGUGAUGCAUUCACUGAUGGAAAUUGGUUUAUUUCUUAUUUAUUGGGAACAUCUAAUUUGUUCUUAUUUAAUGGCAUAUAUAAACCAUGGGAACCUAUUUACCAAGUAUUUGUUGGUUUUCUAUUGUGGGAGUUGGAGCAUUUUGAAUUGAAUAUGUAUUUCUUUAAUUGUUAAGGCAAAGAUAAUAGUAAUAUGAUUUAACUAUGACACGGGCUGGACUAUUCUAUACUAAUGUUUCCUAAUCACUAAAUCUUAUUGACUACUUGUGUGCCCCCUUUAUAUGUUUGUGGAUUUAUAUUAGGUGGGUUAAGAAUGGUGAAUUUAUUGGGUUAACUGAAAUUGAUGCUCAAUUACCUUAUGUCUUAUAUUAAAUAGACAUUGUCUACUGCCAUUGCAUGAUCUUUCAAGAAUUAGUAUCAAAUUAAACUUUUUAACGGGAUGUCCUUCUUUGGUCUUAUAUAUCAUUCAUUCUUUCCAUUU